CAAGGAAAAUGAUGAAAACAUGAGCAAUCUUACAAAAUGAGCAACUCGUAUUAAUCUAGUGAUUACUUGAUCAAGUUAUCUUACAGUUGUAAAUCAGUGUAUUCAGCCAACUCUUCAUUUCUCGAACCUGUUUCAGUGAAACUUCAAUAUUGAAUUUUUUCGUUUCCUCGACAAAUUACUUACUCUCAAUUAUUUUAAAUAUUGUACUUUGAAUAGCCAAAUAACCAAAUUUACUGAUUGUUUCAAAUCUGGUCAACAUCGUCAAUUAAUAUGAAUUCAAAUAUGAGCAAAAUAACUAUGCCAUUUGGCUAUAUUUUAAUCAUCUUUUUGAUUGUUACUUCAUUCAAUGAUCAACCAUCAGCUCAAGUCAUGAGGAUCUGUGAAAAUGGUGAUUGCCUUCAAUUGGCUCGCCGAACGUCUUUGGCUGGAAAUGAGGAUCUUAAUGGUAUCUACAAUUUGAUGAGAUAUUUAAGGCAAAGUAAAGUCAUUGGAACCAACUUUAAUUCACCUUUUCUUGGUAAAAGAAGUAUGGCCAACACAGAGAAGGAAUGAUUACUAUUUACCAAUUUGAUUUCAAUGAAAAUAAUUGAUAGCUGAUUGGAACUGCAAACAAACAAUUCAACUGCGUUAUUUUGCUUGAACACACAAAUCACUAAUUUCCCAUUAAAGAUCACCAAUAAAUUGAUGUUAAACUAAUUCAAGAUGAUGUAAAAAAACCUUUAAUUGCUCCUGAUUAAAGUAGGACAAUGGUCACUUCGAUUAUUGUUUAUUUCACUUUACCUUACCAUGUAAAAUGUAUUACUUUUUGUUUGUAAACCUUAAACCCGUAACCCUAUUAACCUGAGAGCCAGAAAGAGCGGAUAACUUAGAUUCAAUUAUUUACCUGUAACUGUUUUUUAUUUAAAACAUUACCAAGUUAUGCAUCAUCUUUAAUUAUUUAUCAUUAAACCAGAAUACCUUUUUGGUUUCUCAAUGUAACUAUCAAUCGACUAUUUUUAAACAGCCGCUCUUUCAUUAUGAAUCAUCUUAAAUUUGUUUCCACUGAAUACAAUAAAUUCAAUCCAUAUUUAUGA